rnacentral:tRNA from 1 species
GGGGUUGUGGCUCAGUGGCAGAGAGCUUGCCUAGCAUGCAUGAGGUACUGGGUUCGAUCCUCAGCACCACA